CUGGACACGCCCUUCCUGUUCUUCUGUAGAAUUCUCUACUUAAUAAUGUUGAUGUGUUAUUGAUGGUUCUUUAAAUAUGGAUGUCAUUCUGCUUUUCAGGAACAGACUUUUUUUUACUGGCCUGAGGAUUAUGAUGACGGGUACGGGGCCCAACAAAUAAAUGGCCAGUACAUUGCCCAACUGCUUCAGGACCAAACAACGUUCACUGACGACCAUGACGGGGCUCCAACCUAUGCAGACCUGACAACCAUUGAUGUCUUGUCUAUUGCAGAGGACUGCCACCCACAAAAUCCUUGCCCUACAACCAUCAACCCCAUUCCUAAUGAUGUGCACAUGCAGGCCCAACAACAUAUUGAGCUCCAAACCUUCAUCCCAUCGGCUGUGUCUGCUAUGACAGUAAGAUCUCUGUUUAACACAGUUCUUAAUGUAUUUCUGUAGAUCUUUGUAUUGAUACUAUGAUGGGAACUCUAAUAUUCACAUGUUUUUGUGUCUCCAGUAUAAUGGACUUCCAGUGUUCACUGCAGGGAUGGAUCCACUUCCCACUUUUGGAGGACAGUAAGUAAAGCAAACAAACAGACUUGUUCAAACGCAGACGUUACUUCACAUGUGACAUGAUUUCUGAUCCAGUGUGUUUGUGUUUUAAUCUUUGUAGGAAUGAGAAUGACUGUGUUUCAAUCGUGCAACCAGAACCCCCAGCAGUCCCAGCAGUCCCAGCAGUCCCAGCAGUCCCAGCCCCCCCAGUGAAGGCCCCAGUCUUAAAGUGAGUUUCCUGCAGUUGUUUUCAUCGUACAUGUCUUUCUUGUGACUGACUCUGGAUCAUGCUCUGCUCACUGUUAACAUGUGCUCUUAUACUGUGUAUUUGUGUUUUGUUCCUUCAGAAAGGUGAACAAGCGUAAGGCAGAGAAGGUGGAAGAGGGGCUGUACAUAAAAAAGCCCCCCAAUGCCUUCAUGCUGUUUCUCAAAGAGCACAGGAAGUCUGCGGAGGAAGAUCUGGGCGUGAGGACGAGCGCUGUCGUCAACAAAUUCCUCGGUGAACGGUGGAAGUCAUUGCCAGCGGAGGACAAAGAUCAGUAUAAUACUGAGGCCAAACGUUGUGCUUUGCUCCACCACGAGCAGAACCCCGGCUGGACCAACAAGAAGAACUAUGCAAAGAAAAGGAGACUAAUUCGGAGAGUGGGCGUGUCCACGUGUUAGAGACGUUGGUCCUGCUACGUCACUGGAACUACGGCUGAAAUCUAUGGAAUCAGGACAAUAUCACAAUGAAUUAACUCACGCAGGGUUUUUCAGAAAUGCACAUGCUUGGUUUCACAGUUUUAUUUCAGACUCACAAACGCACAUGAUCUGUUUUGUAAAUAUAUAUUUCAUUCAAACUUGUAACAUAAAUUCUGAAAUGCACACUCUACUUCACAAAUAUUAUUUUGAGGCACACAUGUAAUAUAAAUCCACAGAUAAUGCAAAUUGCUGUUUCAUCCGCUAACGUUAAGUUUUAUGUGUUUUGUUUUAGGCAAAGAAAAGGAAACUAAUUCGGAGAGUGGGCGUGUCCUCGUGUUACACGUUUGUCCUGCUACGACACUGGAACUAUGGCUGAAGUCUGAGUCCAGAGAUACGUCCGGAUGCUGCAGUCGUUCUGAAAUCCACCCUUGCUUAAACUUCUUGGAGUCAUUUUUGGAAGCUGAUGAUUCAACAGCUUCUGUCACCG
ensembl:lncRNA